rnacentral:lncRNA from 1 species
UGGGUAGAUCAUUUGUACUUUGAGGUUGUUCUUGUUGUUCUUCACCUUCUUCAUCCGGUUUGUCUUCAUGUUCUUCAUCAUCUUGAAUUGUUGAAUCUUUUAGAGUGAUUUUCUUCAUUCUUUCUAUAAAAGGAUCUGCAUCAUCAAUACCUUCAUUCUUCCUUGAAGGAAGAUCGUUAGUUUCAUCAAAGAUAACAUGU